CCGCACUUGGAACUGAUCUCGCUAAUGGAGCGCGGUGCAGCCCGAAAUUACUAGUAUGGCGAUUCUACUGAUUGGCUGGCUCGGUGGAUCAGCUCCGCUCCGUCUGGUCUUGGAGGUCAAUAAAUCACCAGCGCUGACUCUUCACCUGUGACAUUACUCUCGUGCCAAUUAAACAAACAACUUUCAGCUUGUCCGCGGUGAUUAGCAUUUAAAUUGGGGCAUCCUUAGCCCCGAGCACUGGGUGUUCGUAUUGAUUUAUGCAAAUCGCGAGCGCGCGAUCGGAAAGGAAAAAAACUCCCGGACGCCGUACGCGGAGGAGGGCUUAACGGGUCCAACAGGUCCAAGGUGCCGAGGGGCCAAGGGUGUCUUACCUUGAAGUCGGACAGGGCAUCAGCACUGAAGCCAGGGAAGAUCAUGCGACAUGUGCAAAAGUUCAGGUUCAGGAAGGAGAAGGAGAAGUAAGCAAGGCAAACAAAAGUAAACAAAACGCAAAAUCCACAACAACGGCGGCUCAGAGGCUGAAGAAAUACUAACAAUAAAAAGUAAAUGCACAGAUUGUAUAAAACGCAAAAUAAAUCUUCAGUACGUGCCCAA